AGACGGAGGGCGCAAGCGUCGUUCGGAAUUACUGGGCGUAAAGCGCACGUAGGCGGACUUGUUAGUCAGGGGUGAAAUCCCGGGGCCCAACCUCGGAACUGCCUUUGAUACUGCAAGUCUGGAGUCCGGAAGAGGUGGGUGGAAUUCCUAGUGUAGAGGUGAAAUUAGUAGAUAUUAGGAAGAACACCGGUGGCGAAGGCGGCCCACUGGUCCGGUUCUGACGCUGAGGUGCGAAAGCGUGGGGAGCAAACAGGAUUAGAAACCCCAGUAGUCC
rnacentral:rRNA from 1 species